rnacentral:rRNA from 1 species
UACGUAGGGUGCAAGCGUUAAUCGGAAUUACUGGGCGUAAAGCGUGCGCAGGCGGUUUUGUAAGUCUGUCGUGAAAGCCCCGGGCUCAACCUGGGAAUUGCAUUUGUGACUGCAAGGCUAGAGUACGGCAGAGGGGGAUGGAAUUCCGCGUGUAGCAGUGAAAUGCGUAGAUAUGCGGAGGAACACCAAUGGCGAAGGCAAUCCCCUGGGCCUGUACUGACGCUCAUGCACGAAAGCGUGGGGAGCAAACAGG